rnacentral:rRNA from 1 species
CAGUAGCCGCGGUAAUACGUAGGUGGCAAGCGUUGUCCGGAAUUAUUGGGCGUAAAGGGCUCGCAGGCGGUUUCUUAAGUCUGAUGUGAGAGCCCCCGGCUCAACCGGGGAGGGUCAUUGGAAACUGGGAAACUUGAGUGCAGAAGAGGAGAGUGGAAUUCCACGUGUAGCGGUGAAAUGCGCAGAGAUGUGGAGGAACACCAGUGGCGAAGGCGACUCUCUGGUCUGUAACUGACGCUGAGGAGCGAAAGCGUGGGGAGCGAACAGGAUUAGAUACCCCGGUAGUCCCUGUCUCUUAUAC